GUGGAAGCGUUGACAGGGAGUUGCAGGUGAGAGAGGGAAAGAGAGAGAAGAAUUUUUCUUUGUAAACCGGGGGAGAGACACAAUUGUGACACCCGAACUUGAGACUUCCUCUUGCUGGCAUGCUACUCAGAGGCUUUGUGUGAGCUCACUUCUUACUCAAUCGCUGAGGAUCAUCUGAGGCAUAAUUUGGAGAAAGUUUCUGUCAAGUCCAGUUUGGAUUGAGCAGAAACAUUUUCAG
rnacentral:lncRNA from 1 species